AUUGAACGCUGACGGCAUGCUUUACACAUGCAAGUCGGACGGCAGCACAGAGAAGCUUGCUUCUUGGGUGGCGAGUGGCGAACGGGUGAGUAACAUAUCGGAACGUACCGAGCAGUGGGGGAUAACUAAUCGAAAGAUUAGCUAAUACCGCAUAUAUUCUGAGGAAGAAAGCAGGGGACCAUUUGGCCUUGCGCUGUUUGAGCGGCCGAUAUCUGAUUAGCUAGUUGGUGGGGUAAAGGCCUACCAAGGCGACGAUCAGUAGCGGGUCUGAGAGGAUGAUCCGCCACACUGGGACUGAGACACGGCCCAGACUCCUACGGGAGGCAGCAGUGGGGAAUUUUGGACAAUGGGCGCAAGCCUGAUCCAGCCAUGCCGCGUGUCUGAAGAAGGCCUUCGGGUUGUAAAGGACUUUUGUCAGGAAAGAAAAAGGCGGGGUUAAUACCCCUGUCUGA
rnacentral:rRNA from 1 species